rnacentral:rRNA from 1 species
GACAGAGGGGGCAAGCGUUGCUCGGAAUCACUGGGCGUAAAGGGCGCGUAGGCGGGAUGGCAAGUCGGUCGUGAAAUCCUUCGGCUCAACCGAAGAACGUCGGCCGAUACUGCCGUUCUUGAGGGAUGCAGAGGAGAUUGGAAUUCCCGGUGUAGCGGUGAAAUGUGUAGAGAUCGUGAGGAACACCGGUGGCGAAGGCGGGUCUCUGGGCAUCUCCUGACGCUGAGGCGCGAAAGCGUGGGGAGCAAACGGG